rnacentral:rRNA from 1 species
GACGAACGCUGGCGGCGUGCUUAACACAUGCAAGUCGAACGGAAAGGCCCUGCUUUUGUGGGGUGCUCGAGUGGCGAACGCGUGAGUAACACGUGAGUAACCUGCCCUUGACUUUCGUAUAACUUCAGGAAACUGGGGCUAAUCCCGUAUCGGAUCUCCUGCUGCAUUGUGGGCGUUGGAUCUUCUCGGCGGUUGGGGUUGGACUCGCGGCUUAUCAGCUUGUUGGUGGGGUAGUGGCUUACCAAGGCUUUGACGGGUAGCCGGCCUGAGAGGGUGACCGGCCACAUUGGGACUGAGGUACGGCCCAGAGUCCAACAGGAGGCAGCAGGGGGGAAUAUUGCACAAUGGGCGGAAGCCUGAUGCAGCAACGCCGCGUGCGGGAUGACGGCCUUCGGGUUGUAAACCGCUUUCGCCUGUGACGAAGCGUGAGUGACGGUAAUGAGUAAAGAAGCACCGGCUAACUACGUG